rnacentral:rRNA from 1 species
GGAGGUAGUGACAAUAAAUCACAAUGCGGAACAAUGUUUUGCAAUUGGAUUGAGAACAACGUACAAACCUUAUCGAUAAACAAUUGGAGGGCAAGUCUGGUGCCAGCAGCCGCGGUAAUUCCAGCUCCAAUAGCGUAUAUUAACGUUGUUGCAGUUAAAAAGCUCGUAGUUGAAAUGAAGGGUAGUUGUGUAAUGAAUACAUUCGUGUAUUUUGUUAUUCUACUACCCUCCUUCUAAAUUCGAUAUAUGAGUAUUAAUUUACUUGUAUAUGGUUUUAGACCUUUACUGUGAGAAAAUUAGAGUGUUCAAAGCAGGCAUUUGCUUGAAUAUAUUAGCAUGGAAUAAUCAUGUAUGAUUUUCAUGAUGUAUUUGAUUGGUUUGGUUCAUGAGAAUAAGAUUAAAAGGGACAGUUGGGGGUAUUCAUAUUCAAUAGUCAGAGGUGAAAUUCUCGGAUUUAUGGAAGAUGAACAAGGGCCGAAAGC